AAAUUGAAGAGUUUGAUCAUGGCUCAGAUUGAACGCUGGCGGCAGGCCUAACACAUGCAAGUCGAGCGGUAGCACAGAGAGCUUGCUCUCGGGUGACGAGCGGCGGACGGGUGAGUAAUGUCUGGGAAACUGCCUGAUGGAGGGGGAUAACUACUGGAAACGGUAGCUAAUACCGCAUAAUGUCGCAAGACCAAAGUGGGGGACCUUCGGGCCUCAUGCCAUCAGAUGUGCCCAGAUGGGAUUAGCUAGUAGGUGGGGUAAUGGCUCACCUAGGCGACGAUCCCUAGCUGGUCUGAGAGGAUGACCAGCCACACUGGAACUGAGACACGGUCCAGACUCCUACGGGAGGCAGCAGUGGGGAAUAUUGCACAAUGGGCGCAAGCCUGAUGCAGCCAUGCCGCGUGUGUGAAGAAGGCCUUCGGGUUGUAAAGCACUUUCAGCGGGGAGGAAGGCGAUAAGGUUAAUAACCUUGUCGAUUGACGUUACCCGCAGAAGAAGCACCGGCUAACUCCGUGCCAGCAGCCGCGGUAAUACGGAGGGUGCAAGCGUUAAUCGGAAUUACUGGGCGUAAAGCGCACGCAGGCGGUCUGUCAAGUCGG
rnacentral:rRNA from 1 species